CGGGCGGCGAGCCGCCGGGCACAGCUGCGGGCCGGCGGUGGGGACGCGGAGCGGCGCGGGGCAGUUCAAAGGCGAGGGGCUGCGGCGAGCGGGCUGACAUAGUGGCAGGGCGUUCACAGCGCGGCUAGGCGCCCAAUCAGCGCGGAGGGGGACCAGCUUAAAAAGAGAGGGAGAGAGGAAGGGCGAGAGGAAGAGGAGGGGAGGGGACAGGGGAGGGCGGAGGAGGAGGAAGAAAGGAGGGGAAAGGAGGACCCCCCCACCCCUCCUCCACCAGCGCGCAGAUUAAAGGGAAGGCUUUGAAGAGGAGGAGGAAGAGGAGGAGGAGGAUGGGGGCACGGUUUAGAGUCCGCUCACCUGGACGAGGCCGGCGGGGUCGGAGACUUUGCGGCUGCCGCCACCGGCGCCGUCCCAGCGGCUUUUUUCGUUGCGUUUAGAAAUGUGUUGGAAAUUUCUCAGCCCCAUUCCCCCAAAGCGGGGGCUGUGCGGGUCGCGCUCCCCCCUCUCUUAACCCCCGGCACGGGGAAAACCCAUGGGGAAACCCCUCCAACCCCUUCUCUAGGUGAGGUCCCACGAACUUCUCCCCCAGCAUCCCAGCAGCCUCCCUCGAGGACCCGCGACAGAAAAAAAAGGGGUUGCAGGAGGCCACUUUCCCCCGGGAUUUCCCCCCACAUCCCCUUUGGAGUGCCCCCAACGUUAUCCCUUCGGGCAGCUCCGUGCCACGCGUGGCCCCGACGGGGAGGGAGCAGGGAUGGUAUGUGCGGGCGACGCGAAUGGGAACUGCUUUUCCACUCCCACCCACCCGUGGGAACAGCCCUCGUGUAUCGUGUUUUUCCCCUCCUCCGUUUAAAAUACAAAACUACCUUUGUUUUCAUUGCUUAUUCUCGGGUACUUCGAGGAUGGGGAGGGGAAGGAGGGGGGGGGGGGAGAGAGGGGUGUGUGUGCGGAAUAUAUACUAUGAUAUUCAUUUGUCAUCCCGUGUGCAAAUUGAACCAGGGAAACCUGGCGCCGUUUGCCAAAAUCCGGCUCUAGCAGACAACUCGUUCGGAGGGGAGCGAUGUCUCUGCCCGCUCCCAAAAAGUCUUCCCGAGCAGUGCAUGACGCUUCUCAAUACUAACGAUGAUAACCAGGCAGCUCCUCUUCCAUUGGCUGCUACCUCCGCCGCGAUGCAUCGCUCCGAUCGGGAGCUCGGGGCGUUUCGGGUUGGGUGGUGUUCAUCUCCAUCCUACAGAAGUUAAAAGAGGAAGAGAGAGGGAUAGCAAGAUUUCCUGCGAGGUGCUGAUGCCCCAAUCCUUAAACACACCCAUUCGCAACAACCCGCCCCUCCUGGCAGCAGAUCGCCUGUUGCAUCCCCCCAGGGAGAUUCGGGGCUUUUUGGGAACUUCGCAGCAAGCAGCAGCGAUUUCCAGGGCGAUGCCACAUUGUUUAGACAUCAAAACGAAAAGCUCAAUUACGAAUGACAUCAUCGUAGCGCAGAAAGAUAAGAAGAUGCUGAUACGGAAAUGUUAAAAUCGUAUUCUUGGUGGGAGUUCAUUCGGAGGAACUUUAAAUUCGAGGGGAUGGUGGAGCCUGAGAUGUGACAGCAGCACAAACAGAGCGGUGCUUCUGCCUUUAUCCCCCUCCUCCUCCUCGCAGCAAUCCCUGUUGGGCAGUGCUGGAACGGCCCGAAGUGGCACAACAGUGAGAACGUGAAAGUGCCCCGACUCCAAAUUGAAUUGCUGGAGGAUAAUGGAUCGUUAAAGAACGUUUUGCUUCCUGAUCGUGCUGCGGGCACUGGGCAAAAGGAAACCGAAGUCUGAAACUGAAGGGAGCGCAUUUUGGAGAGCCUUUCAGAUCUCUGCCCGGCUGCGGGUGCCGCCCGUGUCACAGUCCCGGUGCCAUUCCCUCUGGCAGCAGCACUCAGUGCAUAUGUAUGGAAUGAGAUCGGUGCCCGGGCUGAAUAUUGAGGCAGUUUUCAUCCCUAUUUGAUUAUUUUUUCUUUACAUGCAAAUGCAC
ensembl:lncRNA